AUCGUAUUGUUCUUCCCUUCAGCUAUGAUAAAGACACAUUUCUGUCCACACCCUAUAAGCCUGGUGCGUCUAAACCUCGGUUUAUCGGUUUCAAGCGUCAGCUCACAAAGUGUGUCCAACAAAAGAAGUAGAAGAGCUUGAUGAGACCACCCUGUCUGCCUCAGAAUUGAUGGAAGCAAGGUGUAGAAAAAAGACAACAGUGCAUAAACAACAUUACUUAUUGCUAUCAUAAAGAAUGACUUGAAAACACUUUUUUUACUUGUUUACGUUUCCCUAAAACAACCUUGUACAUGUGUCGAAAAUGGCUAUUAAAAUCUAUUUUUUUUACAGUAAUUGUUCAUUUGUAGCAUUAUAUAAGCUACCUGCUACUUUUCUCUUGUUUUUGUUUUCAGUAUGUCAUCACUAAAUCUGAAUGAGGAAACAGUCAGUGUGGAUGACUUCAGUGACAUCCAAAAUGCUACGCAAGUUACACUGUGUAUAUUUUUAUGUCAUGCAUCCAAGCACAGUUUAUGUACCAGUUUUAAUAUAUUAUAUGUUUGGUGUAGCAUUGACUGGGAGGAUCCAACAUGGUAUCUGGAUGAGGACGAGGGCCAAUGUGUCACUGAGACACUGAUAGUGAUGAUCCAGAUUACAAUCCACACUUUUGUGUCGAGCUGGUGGGGCUAUUACAUCACAGAAAGCACUUGAUGAUAUUCCUGAGAGGAGCAUAGAAAAAAACAGUUCCUGACAUAGCAGAUCUGGAUGACGAUGCUGCAGCUGCAGACUUGCCACCUUUUCCUGACCAAAUCAAA